rnacentral:sRNA from 1 species
AGUCUCACUACAGAGAGCUAUUGCCGAACGUCAGUGUUAGAAAAAAAAUCGUUGAGCGGCUUUGUUCAUACUUUGUGUUCACUUUUAGCCAAGCGAUGACUGUGCAAGGAGGUGGGAUGUUUGACAAGUACAAUUCACAGCGGAGGGAUGCCCUCGCAGACAUUUUCGAUGGAAUAGACCCUGCUCUGCAAAAGCGGCUGGAGCAAACGGCAGGGAUGGACAUUUUGGAAAAGUUGAAUUGUCAAUGCAGACGACCAAAAUUCGUGUUGUCAGAAGACAUUGAGAGUGAUGACGACAUUGUUAUAGUUACAGAAGAAGAUGAGAAAUACGUGUCCCGCAGACGACAUGCAGUCGGGGAUAUUUACGAAGGCGUCAAUCCCGAACUUUUAAAACGUCUGUCUCCAGAAGUCGUGAAGUUCUACAAAUCAGAAAAAUUAGUUUGUCCAGACAAAUCUGCACCCAAAGUGACGGUGAAAAUCAGGCGGUCAUUUUCGAUGGUGUCGGAAAACGAGAUGUUAAAGUUCAAUGGAUUCUGUUUACACGCGAGAAGAAAUGGUGUUCCAGACAUUUCAGAAAAACUGCAAAGUUUCGAGAAAAAAUAUUUACGGAACAUUUAUUUUUCAAGUUUUGGGUCACCUAAUAGCGUGCUGUGUUACUAAAACUCUCGGAGGAAAAAAAACAGACAAUAAAAUCAUCAAAAGUACGUGAUUUCCAACAGACUAAAAAUCAUUACGGUUGUGAGAUUGGUUGAAUGUGUUUGAAUGAAUCGUGUAAGGAAAACAAACAAAGGAAAGGUGUUCUGAACUAUUUUUCCUUUGACUAAUCGCUUAUUGUGAUGGUAUGUACUGUCAGUGUACUUUGUGUCGUAUUAAGAAUAUCAUCUGUGUUCGUUUCUUCGAUGAUAAACGUUUCACGGUUAAACCGCUAACAAUCAAACUUAAUGCUAAUCCACUGUUAUUUAUUUACACGUAUGUUAUACAUGUAUGGUUGGUAGCCAAUUUUCACAGAAGAUUGCUACGAAUAAUUUUUGUAUUGCUCAUGUUUUUAUUUCCUUUUUUAUAUAUUUGUUGAAUAUAAUGCCUAUUAUGUGAAAAAUAAAAUAUAUAAAAUAUG